GAAGGUGCGACUCAGUGGUAGAGUACACGCUUAGCAUGCACAAGGUCUUGGGUUCAAUACCCAAUACCUCCG
rnacentral:tRNA from 1 species